rnacentral:lncRNA from 1 species
AGCUUGGAGAGAAGGAGACCUUCAUGGAAGUGCAUCAGCCAUGGACUCUCUCCUGUCUUUGUUGGAUCCAUGGGAGAAUCCAAUGAUCCCAGGAUAGAGCAGACUCGAACCAUCUGGAAGAAAUGUAAAGCAGAACCCCAGGAAUAAACCACACAUCCAUAAGUAUCCAAAAGGAUCUGCAGGAUUCUUCAGGCCUGCCUAUAUUUUGUAAGGGAUCAUGGAACAAACCCGUGGAUCUCACAGAGAAGAUAAGUGAGAGUCCAUCGCUGAUGCACCUUCAUGGACAUUUUCUUCUCCACCAAGCUGCAAGGAUCUGUCACUAAUCAACGUUGUUAUUAAUUUUAAUGCUACUCUAAUUUGCAGUCAGUCCUGGUGCUCUGAGACAAGCACAUGCACAUUCAUGAGGCAGGCAUAAAUACCUGGCUGUCAGAGUGGUCAGUGUGUCAAAGCAGAUGAAAAUGGUACAGGAAAAGGAGGUGUGCUAUUGGGAAACAGGCUGCUUGCCAAAACUCACUAUAGGACCCUAAAAGUCUCUACCUUAGGGCCUCUUCAGGCUGUCUCUGUGGUCGGAUCAUGCUGGAGGAGAAGGCAUUUCGAGACCAUAAGAGAGUGUCCCAGAAUGAAAACCCAAGAUGAUGGAGGAGUGUCCGCUCGUGAUGUGAAGCACCUGCUCAGCUGGGAACUGAAUUUGAGAAUGAAAUCCCAGGAUGAUGGUGGAGUGUCCCCUCAUGAUGUGAAUAACUGCUUGACUGGGAACCAAAUUUAAGGUGAAUGUGCAGGACCUCACCAGAUUAUAUCCUAACCACUAUCUGACCUUAUUGCUUCUCACACUCUAUAUCUGAGGAUGAAAUACCAAGGUGAUGGAAGAGUGUCCGUUCAGGAUGUGAAGCACCUGGUUGGCUGAAAACCAAAUUCGAGUUCAACCAGCCCUGUGGAGAGGACUGCCAGUGUCUCUCCCUGGUUACAGGACAAUAAAACACUGGAA